AUGCAAAUAUUUGAAUUGGUCUUUGGUUACAUCGUACAGGGAGGAAAAAAAUGCUUUGUGCUUUAUAUGCCCUUCAGAAAGUGGCCAUGUACGAAUUGCUCAUGCAAUGCAAAAGAGAAAAAAAAAAUUGAUUUUCCACCUAAGCAUUGUUUCUUCAACUUAGUGAAAAAUCAAAACUAUCUUUAUUGCACAUCAUUCACACACAAUCCUUUCGUUAUUGAGCUAGGCUCCAAUUCCCUUAUUAAAUUUAGUGCCAAAUGCAUCUCGGCCUAUCUUACAGAAGUAUAUUUGCAUAAUCUAAAGAACAAAUAUCAAAUUGCAAAAACGAAAUAG